CAAUAGCGUAUAUUAAAGUUGUUGCAGUUAAAAAGCUCGUAGUUGGACCUUGGACCUGGACAGGCGGUCCGCCUCACGGCGUGUACUGUCUUGCUGGGUCUUUCCUCUUGGUGAUCUGUUGUUUCGGCAGCAGGGAACCAGGACUUUUACUUUGAAAAAAUUAGAGUGUUCAAAGCAGGCUCGACGCCGGAAUAUAUUAGCAUGGAAUAAUAAAAUAGGACGUGCGGUUCUAUUUUGUCGGUUUUUGGAAUCGCCGUAAUGAUUAAUAGGGACAGUCGGGGGCAUUAGUACUCACAUGCUAGAGGUGAAAUUCUUGGAUUUUGUGAAGACUAACUUCUGCGAAAGCAUUUGCCAAGGAUGUUUUCAUUAA
rnacentral:rRNA from 1 species